UAUUACCCUAUAGCAGUCGAUUUACAAAACUACUCACCCAAUUCACCCACUCAAUUACACUACAUGGUGGCAAUCAACUAGUUUUACGACUCAUGCGUACAGAAUUUUGGAUACCGAAGCUCAAAACCCUAAUUAAGUCCACCAUCCAUCAAUGCAAAACUUGCAUUUUACACAAAAAGGAUGCAACCACCCAAAUCAUGGCAGCACUCCCAACGGAACGCACAACCCUAACUCGCCCAUUUGCAGCCACAGGAAUAGAUUUCGCCGGUCCCUACGACAUAAAAAACUACACUGGAAGAGCAUGCUUAAUAACAAAAGGUUAUGUAUGCGUAUUUGUGUGUUUUGCAACCAAAGCAAUACACCUAGAACCAGUCAGCGAUCUCACUACACGAGCAUUCAUGGCCGCAUUCGCACGCUUCUUUUCCAGGCGCGGAUGUCCCGCCGAUCUCUACUCGGACAACGGAACUAAUUUCGUUGGAGCGUCUCAGCUGUUAAUCAACGAUCGGCGAGAAUUCAUGAAAUCACUCAAAAGUCAACUAGAAACGAGUGAAGCGCACCAAAACAUCAACUGGCACUUUAAUCCUCCAGGAGCUCCACACAUGGGUGGACUCUGGGAAGCAGGAGUGAAAAGCUUAAAGAGCCACUUAAAAAAGGUGUCGCAGACCCAAAAAUUCACCUUUGAAGAAUUAGCAACCCUUCUUACCCGAAUUGAAAGCUGUUUGAAUUCUCGCCCUUUAAGCCCAAUAAGUGAAGACCCCACGAAUUUGGAACCUUUAACACCAGGCCAUUUCUUAAUAGGUACCCUUUUACUAGCCCCAGCAGAACCCAACUUAGAAGAUGUAAAUCUAAGCACUGCAAAUAGAUGGCAAAAACUAAAAAUACUCCAACAACAUUUCUGCAAACGAUGGAAAGAAGAAUACUUAAAAGAACUACACAAAAGAUACAAAUGGAAAUACCCUCAACGCAACAUAGAAGUUAAUGAUUUGGUAGUUAUUCGACAUGAAACAUUACCCCCAAAUGAAUGGAGACUAGGUCGAAUCGAAAAAACUUAUUUCGGUUCAGACGAUAGAACAAGAGUAGUAGAUAUACGUACUUCUCAAGGCAUAAUUACCCGCCCAAUAACCAAAGUAGUAUGUCUACCCAAUAAUUAAUAAAAUUUCUUUAUAGUGACAUGGCUCCUCUAAACAACAGCAGAGCAUCCCACAACCGACGCAGCAGCCCAGCCACUACCGUGCGAUCACUCAGCGUGACCCGAAGCAUCACCCCACUCCCUGAAGAAGGGACCCUGGCGCGACGUCUACAACGUUUUAAAUCGACCCUUUCCCCAAUUCGUGAAGAAAGAGGAAGUACACACCGCACGGCACGGCGUACUAUAACUCACCCAGCAAAACGCACUUACAAACACGUAGCUUGCGGAAUAUGCAAGAAAGAUCACAGAUUGGUGACAUGUUCCAAUUUUACAAAAAUGAACUUGAACGAAAAGUUUGACGCAGUUACCAAGUACAGGUACUGUGUCAACUGCUUGGCCAGAUCACAUCAGACCCAAAAAUGUACAAGCGAAAAACGAUGCAACACAUGCAAUGGGAAACACCAUUCGAGUCUUCACGGUCACCCCAGGUUGUUCUGCAAAGAACCAACCAAAUCAACAAACAUCGAUAAGAGAUACAAAAGACCCAAUGAUGUUCCAACAUUACUGGCCAAGCCGACUCUCAUACCCACGGCGAUGAUAAAAAUGAAACACAACGGAAAAUGGAACAAAAUCCGAACAAUAAUCAACCCGACCCGUAAAUUAUCAAUAAUCGCAUCAGAACUGGUACAAAAGUUGAGGCUACCAAAAACGUAUCUUGACUCACACCGUGUGUGCAAGGUUGUUAUAGGAUCACUCACUGAUCCGGACUGGCAGGUGGAAAUCAACUGCCUUGUAACAAACGAGUUACCGACCCGACCCUAUAAUCGUGACAUAAGUGGCGAAAUCAUGAAGAAGUUCGACCACUUAGUCCUAGCCGACCCGAUGUUUUUUAAAGAUGACAAAAUCUUAUUGGAACUCGGGGCAGAUACGUAUCCUAAAAUUAUGAAACCCGGAUUAUUCAAUCCCGACAACGGCACUGUGAUCGCACAAAACACUGCACUCGGUUGGACCCUCACCGGUGCUUGUGCGAUGUAACACUAAACCCUUCAAGGCGGCCGGGAUGUUCAUACCAAAUGAACACAUCCCUGCAUUGUCCUCUAAACUGGUCGAAAGACGAAUUAGAGGACAAUGCAGAAACACCAACCGCACCAACAUAUCUAAUGAGAAUCAUUCUUAUAAGAAUACAACAAGCAAAGGAAGUGCAAAAUAAGCGGACGGACAACCAACCACUCGAUCACCACAAUAAUCAGGAUCAGGAAAUAACCAUCCAACCAACGCGGGAAUACCCACCACAGGUCAUAUACAAGAUUAAGAUAUAAUUUCAAUUGUAAUUAACACUUAAGGUAUUAUAUACGGUGAUAUUUUACCUAACCCACCCUCUCAUUUAUAACAAACAUACACACACACUCUUAUAUAAAUUAACCCAAACAUAUUGUAUAUACCCCAUAUAAUAUAAAUUGUGAAUUUUGAUAUUGAAAACGAAAUCAUCUCUUUUAUUUGGCAACCGACUAUUUCGAAGUUGAAUACCUCAACAAGAGUAUUAUAGUUUUGUUAACAUUGCGGUUCGUCGUAAGCCCUAAAACUAAACGAGUCAGAUAUAGGGUUAUAUGUAUCAAAUUGUUCAGGGUGACGAGUAAAGUUCAAAUUCGGAUGUUUAUCUGUCCGUCCGUCCGUGCAAGCUGUAACUUGAGUAAAAAUUAAGAUAUCUUGAUGAAAUUUAGAAGAUGUAUUUCUUGGCUCCAUAAGAAGAUUAAGUUCGAAAAUGAGCGCAAUCGGCCUGCCUCGUCCAUAAAAUGGCGAAAACCGAAAACUCAUAAAGUGCAAUAACUAAGCCAUAAAUAAAGUUAUGGAAGUAAAAUUUAAUACAAAGGAUCGUACUAUGAAGGGGCAUAUUUGGAUGUAAUUUUGUUGUUGAAGUGGGCGUGGCCCCAUGUUCAUAAAUACAUAUAUGAACAUGAAUGAUUUAUUACAUUAAGAUUGAAUUAUAUGUAGAACAUUAUAUUUUUGACAAUAAGCAAUGAAUUAAAAAAAAAGUAUAUGCAGUCCACUAAAUGUCAAGUGCAAUGGUUAGCAACAAAAUUUUAAUAUGAGACUUGCUCAUAAAAAUUUAAAAUUCAUUGCAUAUAAAAGAAACCACAUAAACAUAUAUGCAUUAAUAUGCAACAAACAUACAUUAUAUGUUGCACGCAUACAUGCAACACACAUACACUUAUAUGAGGCACGCAUGCAUCUAUAUGCAACACGCAUGCACUCAACUAUUAAUAAACAAACAUAUUUGUAUGCACAAGAUAACCUAUUGGUUAUAAAAAUACAUUUGGGCAAUUGCUUGUGUGCAUUUGAAAUAACUCCUUAUCGUGCAACAUAUAAAAUAUACAUAUUGACAUACACACAUACACAUAUAAUUAGUUCUUAAGAUGUAUUCAAAAAUUGUAUUUAAGCAGUGACAGAAUGAAAAUAAAUUUAGAAUGAAUUAGAUUCUCACUCAAUGCAAGUCUUUCAUUACUCCCCACCAGCGGUAAGGUUUGUUAGAAACUACAUUGUUUAAACAUUUUGGUCCUUCGAUCCUCUUUUUGAAAAAGAAUCGAGCAAGUGCAAGUACUAGAAGCCUCUUAAAAGAAAAAGAGCAUUACUUAGCCAAAUAAAUAUAAAUGUAAGCCGGAAUAGCAAAGGCUAUCCGCAUUUAUAAAAUUUACUUUUCGUAAAAGUUAAAAAAAAGCGACCUUGUGGCUAUAACAACAAGAACAGUGCAAAAAAAAAAAUAAAAAAAUAAGAAAAAAAAUAUCUACAAACACCAACUAUAAAGAGGCAAAUAUGAAGAACUUGCUAACACGACAGAGGGAUUUAGGCGAUCUAGCUGCGUUGGAGGAGCAGAAAGUUGUCAGGGGAAAGAUAAAAAAAGCUUCAUGUCUGGAAUAUAUGGAUCAUAUUCAGACUGUUAUGAAAGAUUUUACUGCAAAUCAUAGCAAAAUAAUGGCUAAGAAAAGUCAAGAAGCAGAGGAAUACAUUGCGAAGAAUUACUACGAGCAUGUAAUGCAAACUAUGGAGAAUUCUAUUCAGAAUUUAAGAAUUGAAAGUACUGCAGAAAGUCUGUUAGCAGUGAGCAGCAAAGGGCAAAUAGAAUCUAUGCCACAAACUAUUCAGGUCGAACCACCUGAAGCUGCUUCUGGCGUUGAAAGAAAAUAUCAACGUCGAGCAAAAAAGCUCAGGAACACACUUGAUGAAAUUCAAGAAAAUGAAUUGAAUAAUCUCGAGCAAAUGAGAGAAUUCAAAAUUAAGCUUGAAAUACAAUUUGAGAAUGUUGAAGAAGCAUAUUUUGAAACUCAAAAUAUCAAAUUAGUGGAAACAACUGAAGACUCUAUCGAGGAACAAAUAGAUGAAUUUCGUCAAAAUUAU